GUAAGACUGGGAUAACUCCGGGAAACCGGAGCUAAUACCGGAUAGUUCCUUGAACCGCAUGGUUCAAGGAUGAAAGACGGUUUCGGCUGUCACUUACAGAUGGACCCGCGGCGCAUUAGCUAGUUGGUGAGGUAACGGCUCACCAAGGCGACGAUGCGUAGCCGACCUGAGAGGGUGAUCGGCCACACUGGGACUGAGACACGGCCCAGACUCCUACGGGAGGCAGCAGUAGGGAAUCUUCCGCAAUGGACGAAAGUCUGACGGAGCAACGCCGCGUGAGUGAUGAAGGUUUUCGGAUCGUAAAGCUCUGUUGUUAGGGAAGAACAAGUGCAAGAGUAACUGCUUGCACCUUGACGGUACC
rnacentral:rRNA from 1 species